rnacentral:rRNA from 1 species
GAUGAACGCUAGCGGCAGGCUUAAUACAUGCAAGUCGAGGGGCAUCAAGGUACACGAAAGUGUAUUGUUGGCGACCGGCGGACGGGUGAGUAAUAGGUAGGUAACCUACCUCAUACUGAGGCAUAGCUGGGAGAAAUUCCAGGUAAUUCCUCAUGAGGUUAUAUGACACAUGUGAUAUAAUCAAAGGUAUCGCAAGGUACUGGUAUGAGAUGGGCUUACUGACCAUUAGCUAGUUGGUGAGAUAAGAGCUCACCAAGGCGAAGAUGGUUAGGGGUUUUGAGAGAGAGAUCCCCCACAUUGGAACUGAGAUACGGGUCCAGACUCCUACGGGAGGCAGCAGUAGGGAAUAUUGGGCAAUGGGCGGAAGCCUGACCCAGCCAUGCCGCGUGAAGGAAGACGGCCUUAUGGGUUGUAAACUUCCUUACUAUGCGACUAACUAGAUUUACGAGAUAAUUCUAUAGAAUGUAGCAUAGCAAAAAGCACCGGA